CAGUCGCCGCGGGAAUACAGAGGCCUCAAGCGUUGUUCGGAUUCAUUGGGCGUAAAGGGUGCGUAGGUGGCUUGGUAAGUUGAAGGUGAAAUCUCGGGGCUUAACCCCGAAACUGCCUUCAAUACUGCUAGGCUCGAGGACUGUAGAGGAGAAUGGAAUUCACGGUGUAGCAGUGAAAUGCGUAGAUAUCGUGAGGAAGACCAGUGGCGAAGGCGAUUCUCUGGGCAGUUCCUGACACUGAGGCACGAAGGCCAGGGGAGCAAACGGGAUUAGAUACCCGUGUAGUCCCUGUCUCUUAUAC
rnacentral:rRNA from 1 species